rnacentral:lncRNA from 1 species
UCUUUGCUGGUAUUUAACCAUGCACUUAUUAGCUUCACAUCCUCCUAGGAACUCCACCUCAUACAACUUCCGUUACCUCCCUCUUCUUUAUUUUGAUCAACACUAAGGUCAACAACAUCUUCAGGGACAGGUUGAGAAGGCAAUUGGGUGCUAAAGAGGAUAGGCUGAGAAGAGAAUGGAGAGCUAAAGUGGACAGGCUGAGAAGGUAAUUGGG